rnacentral:rRNA from 1 species
UCAUAGAAUUUCUUUAAAUUCAUGAUGUCGUAAGGGAAAAUAAUGAUAAUACCUUACUAUGAGUGUCGUCCAAAUCUGGUGCCAGAAGACUCGGUAAGACCAGAGACGCAAACGUUAAUCAUCAUAAACAGGCGUAAAGGGUUUGUAGGCAGCUUUUAUAAUAAUAAAAAAAAAAUUUUUAAUAUAAUUGAAAGCUAGAAUCAAAAAGAGGUUAUAGUGUAUAACGCCUAGAGGAGGGCUGAUAUCCGUAGAUCCUAGGCAGAAUACUCAGGGCGAAGGCCACUCUCCACUAAUGAUUGACGCUGAGAAACGAAGGUUAGGGUAGGAAAUAGGAUUAGAUACCCCGGUACUCCUUUCUGUAAACGAUGAAUGGUAGUCAUUAGUUUAAUUUAAAUAACUAGAGGCGAAGUUAACACAAUAACCAUUCCGCCUUGUGAGUACUACUGCAAAGUAGAAAACAAAAAAAUUAGUCGGUCUCGAAGCAAACGGAGUGAAGCAUGUUAUUUA